GGGAAAGGGGACCCUUAAUUUUGAAUUGGUUCUAGAAUUGGUCAAGGGGGCCCAAUGGUUUUUUCCCGGGGUUUGGUGAGUGCCGAUGGGAACCUGCCCGAUUGUGGGGGAUAACCUGGGGAAACCCAGGCUAAUACCGCAUACGUCCUACGGGAGAAAGGGGGCUUCGGCUCCCGCUAUCGGAUGAGCCUAUGUCGGAUUAGCUAGUUGGUGAGGUAAAGGCUCACCAAGGCAACGAUCCGUAGCUGGUCUGAGAGGAUGAUCAGCCACAUCGGGACUGAGACACGGCCCGAACUCCUACGGGAGGCAGCAGUGGGGAAUAUUGGACAAUGGGGGCAACCCUGAUCCAGCCAUGCCGCGUGUGUGAAGAAGGCCCUCGGGUUGUAAAGCACUUUCAGCGAGGAAGAACGCCUAGUGGUUAAUACCCGCUAGGAAAGACAUCACUCGCAGAAGAAGCACCGGCUAACUCCGUGCCAGCAGCCGCGGUAAUACGGAGGGUGCAAGCGUUAAUCGGAAUUACUGGGCGUAAAGCGCGCGUAGGUGGCUUGAUAAGCCGGUUGUGAAAGCCCCGGGCUCAACCUGGGAACGGCAUCCGGAACUGUCAAGCUAGAGUGCAGGAGAGGAAGGUAGAAUUCCCGGUGUAGCGGUGAAAUGCGUAGAGAUCGGGAGGAAUACCAGUGGCGAAGGCGGCCUUCUGGACUGACACUGACACUGAGGUGCGAAAGCGUGGGUAGCAAACAGGAUUAGAUACCCUGGUAGUCCACGCCGUAAACGAUGUCGACCAGCCGUUGGGUGCCUAGCGCACUUUGUGGCGAAGUUAACGCGAUAAGUCGACCGCCUGGGGAGUACGGCGCAAGUUAAACUCAAUGAAUUGACGGGGCCCGCACAGCGUGGAGCAUGUGGUUUAUUCGAUGCAACGCGAGAACCUACCUACUCUGGACUCCCUGCGAAUUC
rnacentral:rRNA from 1 species